GUAUAGGUUUAAUGACUGCUUGCGCAAUCGUUAAAAGACAUUCUGUAACUUUAUAGUGUAUAUGAAAACAUAGCCUUGAAGAAGCAGGAGAAGGGCUUGCGCCCAAGCUCCCAAACCGCAUUUGACUGCGAGAGGUACGUUCAAGACUACAAAAUGUGCACAAGAGAAGAUAAAUAGAUGGACGAGCACAUGCUCAGUUAAGAGCCAGCAUCAGUACCAAUCGUAUUCAAUAAUGAUCCUUCCGCAGGUUCACCUACGGAAA
rnacentral:misc_RNA from 1 species